GAGCCUCAGCAGAAUGUGGGAAAGUGUUUGCUCUGUUGUUCUGUGAGAGCAACGAAAGGCUUAGGGAAACUGCUGAGCACCUGGGAAGUGAGGUUUGAAGGAAGAGGAGGCACCUUGGAACUUCUCCCUUGGGUCCAUCGUCAGGACCCCGCUCCGUUUUGCACCAGGAGCACCGAGGAGGGCUGGGCUCACGGUCUGAGGGAAGCCCUGCGAGAGCUGCCUUCCCCUCAGGCCUCCUCCUACAAAUCUUUCCACGCUGCAAACAGAAAUUUGCAAAUCUAGGCCAAGCAUUCCCUGCUCCUAUUUCACCACCCAUGCUGUCGGAGGACGGUUGUGCUGUGUGCUAUGGAGACGCAGCACCUCAGGAUAAACCUGGACCGCUCUGCUCCGUGCUCAUGCGGCCCAGUGGGGUCCUCUUCUAUACCUGGACCAUUACCCUGGGACUAAUUAAAAUAAUUAACAAGUGUAAUUAACUGUUGAGAGUUUUAGCACAUUAUAUCA
rnacentral:lncRNA from 1 species